CUACGGGACGCAGCAGUGAGGAAUAUUGCACAAUGGGGGGAACCCUGAUGCAGCAACGCCGCGUGGAGGAUGACGCAUUUCGGUGUGUAAACUCCUUUUAUAUGUCAAGAAAAUGACGGUAGCAUAUGAAUAAGCACCGGCUAACUCCGUGCCAGCAGCCGCGGUAAUACGGAGGGUGCAAGCGUUACUCGGAAUCACUGGGCGUAAAGGACGCGUAGGCGGGUUGGAAAGUCAGGUGUGAAAUCCUACAGCUUAACUGUAGAACUGCACUUGAAACUUCUAAUCUAGAGUAUGGGAGGGGGAGAUGGAAUUAGUGGUGUAGGGGUAAAAUCCGUAGAUAUCACUAGGAAUACCUAAAGCGAAGGCGAUCUCCUGGAACAUUACUGACGCUAAGGCGUGAAAGCGUGGGGAGCAAACAGGAUUAGAUACCCUAGAGUC
rnacentral:rRNA from 1 species